UUGAUCCUGGCUCAGAUUGAACGCUGGCGGCAUGCCUUACACAUGCAAGUCGAACGGCAGCACGGGGGCAACCCUGGUGGCGAGUGGCGAACGGGUGAGUAAUACAUCGGAACGUGUCCUGUAGUGGGGGAUAGCCCGGCGAAAGCCGGAUUAAUACCGCAUAUGCUCUACGGAGGAAAGGGGGGGAUCUUAGGACCUCCCGCUACAGGGGCGGCCGAUGGCAGAUUAGCUAGUUGGUGGGGUAAAGGCCUACCAAGGCGACGAUCUGUAGCUGGUCUGAGAGGACGACCAGCCACACUGGGACUGAGACACGGCCCAGACUCCUACGGGAGGCAGCAGUGGGGAAUUUUGGACAAUGGGGGCAACCCUGAUCCAGCAAUACCGCGUGUGUGAAGAAGGCCUUCGGGUUGUAA
rnacentral:rRNA from 1 species